rnacentral:rRNA from 1 species
GCUGGCGGCUGUUCUCAGACAUGCAAAUAGAACGCGAAAGUCCCUUUCGGGGGACGAGUAGAGUGGCUUUCGGGUGAGUAACACGUAGGUAAUCUACCUUCGGGUGGGGAAUAACGCAGGGAAACUUGCGCUAAUACCGCAUAAUGCAGCGGCACCACAUGGUGACAGUUGUUAAAGCGGGGGAUUUUCGAACCUCGCGCCUGAAGAGGAGCCUGCGGCAGAUUAGCUAGUUGGUAGGGUAACGGCUUACCAAGGCGACGAUCUGUAGCCGGCCUGAGAGGGCGGUCGGCCACACUGACACUGACAUACGGGUCAGACUCCUACGGGAGGCAGCAGUGGG